GAUGAACGCUGGCGGCGUGCCUAAUACAUGCAAGUCGAGCGAACGGACGAGAAGCUUGCUUUUCUGAUGUUAGCGGCUGACGGGUGAGUAACACGUGGAUAACCUACCUAUAAGACUGGGAUAACUUCGGGAAACCGGAGCUAAUACCGGAUAAUAUUUUGAACCGCAUGGUUCAAAAGUGAAAGACGGUCUUGCUGUCACUUAUAGAUGGAUCCGCGCUGCAUUAGCUAGUUGGUAAGGUAACGGCUUACCAAGGCAACGAUGCAUAGCGGACCUGAGAGGGUGAUCGGCCACACUGGAACUGAGACACGGUCCAGACUCCUACGGGAGGCAGCAGUAGGGAAUAUUCCGCAAUGGGCGAAAGCCUGACGGAGCAACGCCGCGUGAGUGAAGAAGGUCUUCGGAUCGUAAAGCUCUGUUAUUAGGGAAGAACAUAUGUGUAAGUAACUGUGCACAUCUUGACGGUACCUAAUCAGAAAGCCACGGCUAACUUCGUG
rnacentral:rRNA from 1 species